UUACAAUGAUGGCAAUAUCUUCCAUCAACAGCAGUUUACUAUUAAAUUUUGAUACUUUGGGUCUGAGUGA
ensembl:snoRNA